UGUAGUCAUAUGCUUGUCUCAAAGAUUAAGCCAUGCAUGUCUAAGUACAUACCUUUGCACGGUGAAACCGCGAAUGGCUCAUUAAAUCAGUUAUGGUUUCUUAGAUCGUUCUUUUUACAUGGAUAACUGUGGUAAUUCUAGAGCUAAUACAUGCAAAAAGCUCCGACCGUAUGGAAAGAGCGCUUUUAUUAGACCAAAACCAAUGGGGUCGCAAGACUCCUUUGUAUGGUGACUCUGGAUAACUUUAUGCUGAUCGCAUGGCCUAGAGCCGGCGACGUAUCUUUCAAGUGUCUGACCUAUCAACUUUCGAUGGUAAGCGAUUUGCCUACCAUGGUUGCAACGGGUAACGGGGAAU
rnacentral:rRNA from 1 species